rnacentral:rRNA from 1 species
AAACCGACACAGGUGGUCAGGUAGAGAAUACUAAGGCGUACGAGAUAACUAUGGUUAAGGAACUCGGCAAAAUACCCCCGUAACUUCGGGAGAAGGGGGACCUCGCUUGGUGACCGGACUUGCUCCGUGAGCUGAACGAGGUCGCAGAGACCAGUGAGAAGCGACUGUUUACUAAAAACACAGGUCCGUGCGAAGUCGCAAGACGAUGUAUACGGACUGACGCCUGCCCGGUGCUGGAAGGUUAAGAGGACCCGUUAACCCUUGGGUGAAGCGGAGAAUUUAAGCCCCAGUAAACGGCGGUGGUAACUAUAACCAUCCUAAGGUAGCGAAAUUCCUUGUCGGGUAAGUUCCGACCUGCACGAAUGGCGUAACGACUUCUCAACUGUCUCAACCAUAGACUCGGCGAAAUUGCACUACGAGUAAAGAUGCUCGUUACGCGCGGCAGGACGAAAAGACCCCGGGACCUUCACUAUAGCUUGGUAUUGGCGUUUGGUUCGGUUUGUGUAGGAUAGGUGGGAGACUGUGAAGCAGGCACGCCAGUGUUUGUGGAGUCAUCGUUGAAAUACCACUCUGAUCGUAUUGAACCUCUAACCUCGGACCGUAUAUCCGGUCCAGGGACAGUGCCUGGUGGGUAGUUUAACUGGGGCGG